rnacentral:rRNA from 1 species
UACGUAGGGUGCGAGCGUUGUCCGGAAUUACUGGGCGUAAAGAGCUCGUAGGUGGUUUGUCGCGUUGUUCGUGAAAACUCACAGCUUAACUGUGGGCGUGCGGGCGAUACGGGCAGACUGGAGUACUGCAGGGGAGACUGGAAUUCCUGGUGUAGCGGUGGAAUGCGCAGAUAUCAGGAGGAACACCGGUGGCGAAGGCGGGUCUCUGGGCCGAUACUGACGCUGAGGCACGAAAGCGUGGGGAGCAAACAGG